CAAGGCGUAGCUACAACAUAAAGCAUUCAGCUUACACCUGAAAGAUAUCUGCCACCAUCAGAUCGCCUUGA
rnacentral:tRNA from 2 species